GCCGUGAUAGUAUAGUGGCAGUACAUUGCGUUGUGGCCGCACUGACCCUGGUUCGAUUCCAGGUCACGGCA
rfam:Lichtheimia corymbifera JMRC:FST:9682, FST 9682, WGS project CBTN01000000 data, contig: SCAF00002